rnacentral:rRNA from 1 species
AUGGAUCAUGGACACGGGCGCGGCCUCACACGUCACCGGCGAUCCAGGUACCUUGUCCACGUUACAUCCCACUGCAGUGCCGAGGCAGAGUACCGUGCAGUUGCUAACUGUGUGGCUGAGUCAUGCUGGCUGCGCCAGCUCCUUGUAGAGCUCCAUCGCCCUCCUCGCCGAGCCACGAUCGUGUACUGCGACAAUGUGAGUAUUGUGUAUCUCUCCUCUAACCCCGUCCAACAUCAGCGCACCAAGCAUGCGGAGAUUGACCUACAUUUUGUAUGUGAUCGUGUGGCUCUUGGUGAGGUCAAGGUGCUGCACGUCCCGACCACAUCUCAGUUUGUUGAUGUCUUCACCAAGGGAUUGUCAUCUUCAGUUUUUCGUGACUUCCGAUCCAGUCUGAACGUCUUGCCUAGCACCGUUCGGACUGCGGGGGGUGUUGAACUGUCACGUUAUAUCUGUACCCUCUGUGAUGUAUAUCUUGGUUUGUUUGUUGUAACCAGUAGGCCUAGUCUAUAG